rnacentral:rRNA from 1 species
GACGGAGGAUGCAAGCGUUAUCCGGAAUGAUUGGGCGUAAAGCGUCCGCAGGUGGCAGUUCAAGUCUGCUGUCAAAGACCGGGGCUUAACUUCGGAAAGGCAGUGGAAACUGAACAGCUAGAGUAUGGUAGGGGCAGAGGGAAUUCCUGGUGUAGCGGUGAAAUGCGUAGAUAUCAAGAGGAACACCUGCGGCGAAGGCGGGUUGCUGGGCCGACACUGACGCUGAGGCGCGAAAGCUAGGGGAGCGAACGGG